GGGGUGACCGCGUGCUUUUUGCAUAAUGAGCUCGGGAGUUAGCCUCUGUGGCGAGCCUAAGGCCUAACGGGCCGGAGGCGGAGCGAAAGCGAGUCUGAAUAGGGCGCUGAGUCGAUGGGGCUAGACGCGAAACCCGUGUGAUCUACCCAUGGCCAGGGUGAAGUGGGGGUAAGACCCCAUGGAGGCCCGAACCCGUAUUCGUUGAAAAGAAUUGGGAUGAGCUGUGGGGAGGAGUCAAAGUCUAAUCAUACCUGGAUAUAUCUCGUUCUCCUCGAAAUAGUUUUUGGGCUAGCCUCACGUUACGGCGUUAAGGGGUAGAGCUACUGAUUGGGGCUGGGGGGCUACCCGCCUACCCACCCCAACCAAACUCCGAAUACUUAACGUUUUUGUCGUGGGAGUCAGACCGCGGGGGAUAAUCUUCGUGGUCGAGAGGGAAACAACCCAGACCGCCAGCUAAGGUCCCAAAGUUACAGCUAAGUGGGAAACGAAGUGGGAAGGCACAGACAGCCAGGAGGUUGGCUUAGAAGCAGCCACCCUUUAAAGAAAGCGUAAUAGCUCACUAGUCGAGUC
rnacentral:rRNA from 1 species